AUUGAACGCUGGCGGCAGGCCUAACACAUGCAAGUCGAGCGGCGCGGCGGACGGGGGAGUGAUGCCUAGGAAUCUGCCUGGUAGUGGGGGAUAACGUCAGGAAGCGGGAGCUAAUACCGCAUAAUAUAAGAUGGGCCUCGGUCGGAUUGGCUAGUUGGUGGGGUAAAGGCCUACCAAGGGGAAGAUCCGGAACUGGUCUGAGGGGAUGAGCGACCACACUGGAACUUAGACACGGUCCAGACUCCUACGUGAGGCAGCAGUGGGGAAUAUUGGACAAUGGGCGAAAGCCUGAUCCAGCCAUGCCGCGUGUGUGAAGAAGGUCGUCGGAUUGUAAAGCACUUUAAGUUGGGAGGCGUUACCAACAGAAUAAGCACCGGCUAACUUCGUGCCAGCAGCCGCGGUAAUUC
rnacentral:rRNA from 1 species